AGUGAACGCUGGCGGUAGGCCUAACACAUGCAAGUCGAACGGCAGCACAGUAAGAGCUUGCUCUUACGGGUGGCGAGUGGCGGACGGGUGAGGAAUACAUCGGAAUCUACUUUUUCGUGGGGGAUAACGUAGGGAAACUUACGCUAAUACCGCAUACGACCUACGGGUGAAAGCAGGGGAUCUUCGGACCUUGCGCGAUUGAAUGAGCCGAUGUCGGAUUAACUAGUUGGCGGGGUAAAGGCCCACCAAGGCGACGAUCCGUAGCUGGUCUGAGAGGAUGAUCAGCCACACUGGAACUGAGACACGGUCCAGACUCCUACGGGAGGCAGCAGUGGGGAAUAUUGGACAAUGGGCGCAAGCCUGAUCCAGCCAUACCGCGUGGGUGAAGAAGGCCUUCGGGUUGUAAAGCCCUUUUGUUGGGAAAGAAAAGCAGAAGGUUAAUACCCCGCUGUUCUGACGGUACCCAAAGAAUAAGCACCGGCUAACUUCGUG
rnacentral:rRNA from 1 species